rnacentral:rRNA from 1 species
GGUAGCUAAAUGCGGAAGAGAUAAGUGCUGAAAGCAUCUAAGCACGAAACUUGCCCCGAGAUGAGUUCUCCCUGAGACUUAGAGUCUCCUGAAGGAACGUUGAAGACGACGACGUUGAUAGGCCGGGUGUGUAAGCGCAGCGAUGCGUUGAGCUAACCGGUACUAAUGAACCGUGAGGCUUAACCUUACAACGCCGAAGCUGUU